rnacentral:rRNA from 1 species
UUGACCUCAAAUCAGGUAGGACUACCCGCUGAACUUAAGCAUAUCAAUAAGCGGAGGAAAAGAAACUAACAAGGAUUCCCCUAGUAACUGCGAGUGAAGCGGGAAAAGCUCAAAUUUAAAAUCUGGCAGAUUAUGUCUGUCCGAGUUGUAACCUAGAGAA